ensembl:lncRNA
AAAAUAAGGGGGCCAGCCAUGCACCGGGGGUGGGGGGCACUCUGUCUUGCCCACCUCCUCCCAAAGGGCCCACAGCAGGUGGGACGCACAUGCAGCAGCCCCACCCUGGGUCCCAGGUGACUGGAAGGGGCAGAAGGCCCAGCUGGGUUUGGGAGGGGUGUCAGGGCAGGGAGGAGGUCUUCUCUGCCUGCACCUAUUGCUGUCAGAGCUCUACCAUGAGCCUGUCACUUUUGUAACCAGCUAAAAACAACACACCUUUGUACUUUCCACUUUGGAGAUAAUAGGUGUUUGUGAUCAUGAAAGUUUAUGAGAUCUUUUGGGAAAAUUGGGAAAUAGAGAAACUGCCCAGAGGCGGAAAGGACCAGCCCUCAGUGGCCAGGCUGUUCUCAGGCUUGUCUCCGCUGUUCCGCACCCAGGCGCCGGGCGAGUCCUCUCAUGAUGUCAUCACACUGCAGCCUGCUGGCAGGUGAGCCCUAGGACAGGCCCAGGGUCCAGGGGGACAACUGGCCCCAGCGUGUCCAAAGGGUCUCCACCCACUCACUCAUCGUUCACUCCAGCCGUGCCAGACGCUGGACACAGCGGUGACUCAGGCUGAUUGAUAGAGUCCCAGCCCCCCACCAACCACUGGAACACCCUGUGCCUGUGGCUGGGAUGCAGGAUGAAUGGUGGACACCUGGCAGGCACACCUGCCUUUCACUCACUGGGGACCAGCCCUAUGCCCUCGAGGCCCUGGGGGGUGGGAGACUCAGCGGCCUCACCCUGUGGAGGUGGGUCCAUUGGCCUGGGAUGCCUGGGGUUGUUUUGCAAAGCUUGUUGGGGGGUUGGGGAGGGGCUCAGGGAAGCGUUCUGGGCAUUCUGGACAACCCAUGUACCCUUACCAGGGUCUGGGGCUGGUUAUGGUCGGAGACCCUGGUCCCAGAAUAGGCCUUUCCCCUCCCCCAACCUUCAUGGAGAACAGAGGCCCCACCCUCCAAACCCACCUGACCCCAGCGANNNNNNNNNNNNNNNNNNNNNNNNNNNNNNNNNNNNNNNNNNNNNNNNNNNNNNNNNNNNNNNGUCCCACGUGGCCCUCAGGUUUUCAGGCAGAGUCCAAUAUCCAUGGGGCCAUUUGGAUGCAGAGGCUCCCAUCGUGGCCAGGGCUUCCCUCCUUAGAAAGGGCUCUUGUGUUUGGUGGGGACUUGGAUGGAGCAGGUCCAGGAGAUGGUGCCCAGGGAAGGGCCCUGGCUGGCCAGUGCUGCCUUCAGUGGGCAUCAAGGACUGGACCCACUGACCCUUCCUCCUCUAUCUCCACCCCACUCUGGGGCCGGAAUGUGGGGGGAGGGUGCAGUGGGGCAUCUUGCCCAAGGCUGCAUGCCAGGCUGGGCUGCCGACAGCCCAGGGGACACAGCCCCAGUGCUGGCCACGGGGCCAGGAGAGGGGGGCUGGGGACUGCAUCCCACACUCUCACCCCUGGGUGGCAGGUUCCUGCUCCCUCCUGUGGUGGGCGUGGAGGGGUGCCCAUGGGGUGGGGCUGGAAGCAGACUCACAUGGGCGUCAGAAAUGUUGAGUGGGUGCUGGAAGAAGUGUGA